rnacentral:tRNA from 1 species
GCCUGGGUGGCUCAGUCGGUUGAGUGUCUGACUUCAGCUCAGGUCAUGAUCUCACAGUUUGUGAGUUCGAGCCCCGCGUUGGGCU